GUUACAGUUGUAUAACGUAAGGUUACGCAGGAAGCCAUUGGUCCUCCGGCUGCUUAACACUGUACGCAUUUUCUUCCCAUCAGAAACAAAAUUCACUAACAUGUGGUGUGAAGAUGGAGACACGUAUCACUUAGAUGCCGUCAGACAAAACCAGCUGG